AUUUGAUAUUGAGGAAAACUAAUGCAUAAUUGCUUGAAUCUCUCCCAAUAUUCGUACAAAGUCUCACCAGUGAGUUAAAUAAUGCCAUAGAUUUCUUUUCUGAUGUU